UACGUAGGGGGCAAGCGUUGUCCGGAGUUACUGGGCGUAAAGCGCACGCAGGCGGUCUCUUAAGUUUGGAGUGACAGUUGGUGGCUUAACUGCCAAAGUGCUUCGAAAACUGAGAGACUUGAGGGCUUCAGAGGGACACGGAAUUCCGGGUGGAGUGGUGAAAUGCGUAGAGAUCCGGAGGAACACCAGUGGCGAAGGCGGCUAUCUGGACGGUUACUGACGCUAAGACGCGAAAGCGUGGGGAGCAAACAGG
rnacentral:rRNA from 1 species